GACGAACGCUGGCGGCGUGCUUAACACAUGCAAGUCGAACGGUGAAGCGAGAGCUUGCUCUUGUGGAUCAGUGGCGAACGGGUGAGUAACACGUGAGUAACCUGCCCCAGACUCUGGGAUAAGCCUUGGAAACGAGGUCUAAUACCGGAUACGCGACAGGACCGCAUGGUCUCUGUUGGGAAAGUUUUUCGGUCUGGGAUGGACUCGCGGCCUAUCAGCUUGUUGGUGAGGUAAUGGCUCACCAAGGCGACGACGGGUAGCCGGCCUGAGAGGGCGACCGGCCACACUGGAACUGAGACACGGUCCAGACUCCUACGGGAGGCAGCAGUGGGGAAUAUUGCACAAUGGGCGAAAGCCUGAUGCAGCGACGCCGCGUGGGGGAUGAAGGCCUUCGGGUUGUAAACCCCUUUCAGUAGGGAAGAAGCGAAAGUGACGGUACCUGCAGAAGAAGCGCCGGCUAACUACGUGCCAGCCGCCGCCGUAAUAC
rnacentral:rRNA from 1 species